CAGCCACCAUCAUUUUCAUAGUAGCAAGUUGUAACCAAAGUUAUUUUAUUCUUCCUAUUUUACAAUGAUCUCCAACCACCAUCAUUUCUAUAGUAGCAAGAUGUAGCCAAAGUUGGUAGUAUGGGAAUAAUCUUCUUAUACCAAUCAAAGUGACCAUCUAGCAAUGAUACCCGACGUCCGAAUAGGUCGAAGGAUUGCAAAGCAUCAUUCAAGAAUCUAUUGGCAUAUGGUUACCGUAUAAUUCAUCCCUUUGAUCUAAAUGCUCAAGGUGACCUAGAGUUUUACUGCCAACCCU
rnacentral:lncRNA from 1 species